UCACAUCUGUUAAAGGGCAAUCUUCCUCC
rnacentral:sRNA from 1 species